CCUACGGGGGGCAGCAGUGGGGAAUAUUGCACAAUGGGGGAAACCCUGAUGCAGCGACGCCGCGUGAGUGAAGAAGUAUCUCGGUAUGUAAAGCUCUAUCAGCAGGGAAGAAAUAGCGACCUUUGGGUCGCCAGACGGUACCUGACUAAGAAGCCCCGGCUAACUACGUGCCAGCAGCCGCGGUAAUACGGAGGGGGCAAGCGUUAUCCGGAUUUACUGGGUGUAAAGGGAGCGUAGACGGCAGCGCAAGUCUGGAGUGAAAUGCCGGGGCUUAACCCCGGAACUGCUUUGGAAACUGUGCAGCUUGAGUGCAGGAGAGGUAAGUGGAAUUCCUAGUGUAGCGGUGAAAUGCGUAGAUAUUAGGAGGAACACCGGUGGCGAAGGCGGCUUACUGGACUGUAACUGACGUUGAGGCUCGAAAGCGUGGGGAGCAAACAGGAUUAGAUACCCUUGUAGUC
rnacentral:rRNA from 1 species